CUCAUGCCCAAAUAUUGUAAUAUGCACUUAACGUAACGUGCACUUCAACUAUCUGCAGCUUUCCAUAUUCUUCUAAUGUUACUGUGAUGUUCACUGUUGCUGUGCUUUUUUCAGUGUCCUUUUAAAAUCAGUGUAAUCAGGUUGGAGCUUGUAGAGUGAUAUCUAUGUAUAUCUAUGUAUAUCUAUGUCUUUAUAGAACUAUUUUGUAGUAUAGGCUAGGUUCUAUUUCACAUUGCUGUGAUGUUCUUGUAACAUCCACUUGAUGUGAGCAGUUUUCUCUUUUCUUAUGUGUACGUCAGUGGCGAUUGCUCUAAGACUGCAAGGGAAGCUCGGCUUCCCUUAAAAUGUCACCCCCCCAAAAAAAGAAAAAGUGGUGAAAUACGUACGGCUGUGUGUACAUUUCAUUAACUAAAUGCGCGCUAGAAAGCCUUCAACUUUUGUUCAGACACUGUGAUAAGAAGCUGAUAAUCACAGGUAACCGGCAUAACUUCGUUCUCAUUCAUCCUCGCAGCGCCUCAGCGCUUCAAACAGUCGGACGCUGGGCUUCUGCUGACUUCAAUGUGGAAGCUUAAAGUGGGUUGUUCCAGCAGCGAAACUAGACGCUCAUUGGAUAAAUGCUGGGCUUUGUCCCGCCCAAUGGAAGCUAAGCUUCACUGGAGUUCUAUGGCGAGAGGGCGGUCCCGACUUUCUCCCGGACUCCAAGCUUCUGCAUUCAUGAUUGGAUGAGCUGUCUGAGGCGAAAUCCUUUUUUGAUUGACAGCUAAACAAGCGAAUCAGCGAUCUUGAAGAAUAAAACAUCUACCAGAGCAUUUUCCAA